rnacentral:rRNA from 1 species
ACGCGUGGGCAACCUGCCUUACACAGGGGGAUAACAGUUAGAAAUGACUGCUAAUACCGCAUAAGACCACAGGACUGCAUGGUCAGGUGGUAAAAACUCCGGUAGUAUAAGAUGAGCCCGCGUCUGAUUAGCUGGUUGGUGGGGUAACGGCCUACCAAGGCGACGAUCAGUAGCCGGCCUGAGAGGGUGAACGGCCACAUUGGGACUGAGACACGGCCCAAACUCCUACGGGAGGCAGCAGUGGGGAAUAUUGCACAAUGGGGGAAACCCUGAUGCAGCGACGCCGCGUGAGUGAAGAAGUAUUUCGGUAUGUAAAGCUCUAUCAGCAGGGAAGAGAAUGACGGUACCUGACUAAGAAGCCCCGGCUAACUACGUGCCAGCAGCCGCGGUAAUACGUAGGGGGCAAGCGUUAUCCGGAUUUACUGGGUGUAAAGGGAGCGUAGACGGCUGUACAAGUCUGGAGUGAAAGGCGGGGGCUCAACCCCCGGACUGCUCUGGAAACUGUACGGCUGGAGUGCAGGAGAGGUAAGUGGAAUUCCUAGUGUAGCGGUGAAAUGCGUAGAUAUUAGGAGGAACACCAGUGGCGAAGGCGGCUUACUGGACUGUAACUGACGUUGAGGCUCGAAAGCGUGGGGAGCAAACAGGAUUAGAUACCCUGGUAGUCCACGCCGUAAACGAUGAUCACUAGGUGU